rnacentral:rRNA from 1 species
GACGAACGCUGGCGGCGUGCUUAACACAUGCAAGUCGAACGGAAAGGCCCUGCGUUUGUGGGGUGCUCGAGUGGCGAACGGGUGAGUAACAAGUGAGUAACCUGCCCUUGACUUUGGUCUAACUACAGGAAACUGGGGCUAAUACCGGAUAGGUGCUCCGGCUGCGUGGUGGGGGUUGGAUGGGUUCGGCGGUUGGGGAUGGACUCGCGGCUUAUCAGCUUGUUGGUGGGGUAGUGGCUUACCAGGGCUUUGACGGGUAGCCGGCCUGAGAGGGUGACCGGCCACAUUGGGACUGAGAUACGGCCCAGCCUCCUACGGGAGGCAGCAGUGGGGAAUAUUGCACAAUGGGCGGAAGCCUGAUGCAGCAACGCCGCGUGCGGGAUGACGGCCUUCGGGUUGUAAACCGCUUUCGCCUGUGACGAAGCGUGAGUGACGGUAAUGGGUAAAGAAGCACCGGCUAACUACGUG